rnacentral:rRNA from 1 species
UACGGGGGGGGGCAAGCGUUGUUCGGAAUUACUGGGCGUAAAGGGCUUGUAGGUGGCCAACUAAGUCAGACGUGAAAUCCCUCGGCUUAACCGGGGAACUGCGUCUGAUACUGGAUGGCUUGAGGUUGGGAGAGGGAUGCAGAAUUCCAGGUGUAGCGGUGAAAUGCGUAGAUAUCUGGAGGAAUACCGGUGGCGAAGGCGGCAUCCUGGACCGGCAUUGACGCUGAGGAGCGAAAGCCAGGGGAGCAAACGGG